rnacentral:rRNA from 1 species
AGUCGAGCGGUAGAGAGAAGCUUGCUUCUCUUGAGAGCGGCGGACGGGUGAGUAAUGCCUAGGAAUCUGCCUGGUAGUGGGGGAUAACGUUCGGAAACGGACGCUAAUACCGCAUACGUCCUACGGGAGAAAGCAGGGGACCUUCGGGCCUUGCGCUAUCAGAUGAGCCUAGGUCGGAUUAGCUAGUUGGUGGGGUAAUGGCUCACCAAGGCGACGAUCCGUAACUGGUCUGAGAGGAUGAUCAGUCACACUGGAACUGAGACACGGUCCAGACUCCUACGGGAGGCAGCAGUGGGGAAUAUUGGACAAUGGGCGAAAGCCUGAUCCAGCCAUGCCGCGUGUGUGAAGAAGGUCUUCGGAUUGUAAAGCACUUUAAGUUGGGAGGAAGGGUUGUAGAUUAAUACUCUGCAAUUUUGACGUUACCGACAGAAUAAGCACCGGCUAACUCUGUGCCAGCAGCCGCGGUAAUACAGAGGGUGCAAGCGUUAAUCGGAAUUACUGGGCGUAAAGCGCGCGUAGGUGGUUAGUUAAGUUGGAUGUGAAAUCCCCGGGCUCAACCUGGGAACUGCAUUCAAAACUGACUGACUAGAGUAUGGUAGAGGGUGGUGGAAUUUCCUGUGUAGCGGUGAAAUGCGUA